CACGCCUAGAGGCAUUCAAGACCAGGCUGGAUGUGGCUCUGGGCAGCCUGGUCUGCUGGUUGGCGAGCCUGCACAUAGGAAGGGGGUUGAAACUCGAUGAUCAUUGUGGUCAUUUUCAACCCGAGCCAUUCUAUGAUUCUAUGAUUCUAUGAUUCUAUGAUUCUAUGAUUCUAUGAUUCUAUGAUUCUAUGAUUCUAUGAUUCUAUGAUUCUAUGAUUCUAUGAUUCUAUGAUUCUAUGAUUCUAUGAUUCUAUGAUUCUAUGAUUCUGUGAGUCUAUGAUUCUGUUAUUCUGUGAUCCGGGCAUAGCGGGGGUGACAAGGCUCAGCCGCGUUGCGCUCCCCGACCAUUUCGUCCCGUCUGGGCUCUCGCCUGUCCCUGUCGCUGGGGACGCUGCAAGAGGGCAGGUGGUUUCCCUGCUGCCGAUGGAGCUUCCCCAGCCGUUCCUCAGCUCUCCGCCUACACCGAAGUACCCGGGCUACCCCGCAGGACACGCUACCCGCGCAUAUGCGCCCGGCACUCGCAGCCCAGAGUAAGCCCGAGUGACGCCGGCGCAGGGCGCAGCCCCUCCGGGGAGGAGCUGGCGGCGGCGGCGGCGGGGAGGAGGUGCCACGGGCGGAGCAGAGCCGAGGGUGGCGGGGGCAGCGCGGCGCGGCGCGGCGCGGUGGGGGAGCGGCGGAGCGGCGAGAUGCGGCAGUGCCGGGCCGCGGGGCUGGCCGCGGUGCUCCUGGCAGUGGCUGUGAGCAGAGCUCAGGUGCAGCAGGAGCCGGCGGCAGAGACAACUGAGGACACCGGCAUCAACAUCACCUGCUCACACCCCAGCAUACAGUCCGAAAAGUACAUCCACUGGUACCGCCAGCUCCAGGGCCGAGGACCCGCAUUCCUCGUCAGCGCCGUUAAAGGCUCCAAGGAGGUGCCGGACCCGGAGGGGCAGGUGUCGGUGUCGGCAGAUCGCCGCUCCAGCGCCCUGUGGCUCGCCCGGCCCCGGCUCGGCGACGCGGCCGUGUAUUACUGCGCCGUGGACCCACGGGAAGCGAAGCCGGGGCUGCGGCCGGGCACGAACCGUUUUGGGCGGGGCGGGGGCACAGUGCCGUCCGGGCCCGAAGGGGGCGCUGCCUGCAUGGCCGCCAAACUCCAUCCUGACCAGGGUGCACCUCCCUGAGUUCUCGAGAAAAAUGAGCACGGCACACACAGCAGCCAUUGACUGAAGCCAAUGUGAGUCAGGCGCAGCUGGGUCUGUGUCAGGACUGCACACCAUGUGAGUGUGGGGAACAGCAGGACUGACUGCAAGGGCUGUGUUUGACACCCGAGGGACAUUCUCACAAUUCUAUUCCAUCUUCUAUCCUCUCCUCCUUCCCCAGUGCAGCACAUAUAAGAACCUGGAAGGAGAGGGGCCUAAAACCAGAACAUCAGCAAUGUGCUAAGUGAGAAAACUAAUUGAGGAAAUUUCCUAGUGGAAUGCAAGGUAACACAAUACAUUAUCAUUGGAAUGGAAGUGAAUAAAUCAAAUAAAUGAAAGAAAGAGAGUGCCCA
rnacentral:lncRNA from 1 species